UUCUGGCUCAGGAUGAACGCUAGCUACAGGCUUAACACAUGCAAGUCGAGGGGCAGCAUUGGAGUAGCAAUACUCAGAUGGCGACCGGCGCACGGGUGAGUAACACGUAUCCAACCUGCCGCUUACUCGGGGAUAGCCUUUCGAAAGAAAGAUUAAUACCCGAUGGUAUAAAGAGUUCGCAUGUUCUCUUUAUUAAGAAUUUCGGUAAGCGAUGGGGAUGCGUUCCAUUAGAUAGUUGGCGGGGUAACGGCCCACCAAGUCUACGAUGGAUAGGGGUUCUGAGAGGAAGGUCCCCCACAUUGGAACUGAGACACGGUCCAAACUCCUACGGGAGGCAGCAGUGAGGAAUAUUGGUCAAUGGACGAGAGUCUGAACCAGCCAAGUAGCGUGAAGGAUGACUGCCCUAUGGGUUGUAAACUGCUUUUGUAUGGGAGCAAUAAGGGCUACGCGUAGUCCGAUGAGAGUACCAUACGAAUAAGCACCGGCUAACUCCGUGCCAGCCGCUGC
rnacentral:rRNA from 1 species